rnacentral:rRNA from 1 species
CCUACGGGAGGCAGCAGUGGGGAAUCUUGCGCAAUGGGCGAAAGCCUGACGCAGCCAUGCCGCGUGUAUGAUGAAGGUCUUAGGAUUGUAAAAUACUUUCACCGGUGAAGAUAAUGACUGUAGCCGGAGAAGAAGCCCCGGCUAACUUCGUGCCAGCAGCCGCGGUAAUACGAAGGGGGCUAGCGUUGCUCGGAAUUACUGGGCGUAAAGGGAGCGUAGGCGGACAUUUAAGUCAGAGGUGAAAUCCCGGAGCUUAACUUCGGAACUGCCUUUGAUACUGGGUGUCUUGAGUGUGAGAGAGGUAUGUGGAACUCCGAGUGUAGAGGUGAAAUUCGUAGAUAUUCGGAAGAACACCAGUGGCGAAGGCGACAUACUGGCUCAUUACUGACGCUGAGGCUCGAAAGCGUGGGGAGCAAACAGGAUUAGAUACCCUGGUAGUCCACGCCGUAAACGAUGAUUGCUAGUUGUCGGGAAGCUUGCUUCUCGGUGACGCAGCUAACGCAUUAAGCAAUCCGCCUGGGGAGUACGGUCGCAGAUUAAAACUCAAAGGAAUUGACGG